CCCUCACGUGAAGUCACCAGUGUCCCCGUCACUUUGCCGUGGUCACUACGCGCCGGGCACGGUCCCCAGGGCCGCCCGCGCUCCCCGCACGUGCUGCCCAGCCAGCCCAGGGAACCCCGCGCUUCCACCAGUCACAAGCGCGAGGCCCGGGCCGGCCGGGUCCAGAGCCCGACCACGGCCGCAUGGUCCCGACGGAGGGGUGAGGUCAGCCUUCCAGCCAGACCUCUGUUCCGGCCUGAGCGCACCCGCCCUUCCUGGAAACGUGUGUCUCCGGGACCUGAGCUUGCUAGGCGUCUGUGGCGCAGUAAUUUGCCAGCUUUUCUGAACAGCCUGUGGCCUCCUGGACAUCUUUCCCUCCUUCCCUGUAGUAAAACUGCAUACAUGAAUACAAACAGAACCAGUCCCAGGCUGAUCCAGACUCAACAGAAACCAUGGAAGUAGUGCGGGACCAAAGGAGAAUCCCUUCUUAACCUCAGGCCUGGCAAGGCUCUUGUAAACAAGACCCCAGAUCCGGAAGUGACAAAGGAUGCUACGUUUUCCGCGUAAAAGUUAACCAUUCUUGCUGGGCAAAUCAUCACAAGCAAAGUCAAGAGGCCAAAAAGUGGGAGAGCUACUUGCAACUUACGUAACAGACUAAGGCUGAGCAAUACAGGUUGGUACGAAGGACAGAACCCGAGCCCAGGACACAAAAGGAACAGGAAAAGAAGAGCUUAAACAAGUGAACGUCCGCGCUCUCUGAAGGCAGGAACCCCGACCC